rnacentral:rRNA from 1 species
GAGUUUGAUCCUGGCUCAGGAUGAACGCUGGCGGCGUGCCUAAUACAUGCAAGUCGAACGCACUGAUUUUAUCAGUGAGUGGCGAACGGGUGAGUAAUACAUAAGUAACCUGCCCUCAUGAGGGGGAUAACUAUUAGAAAUGAUAGCUAAGACCGCAUAGGUGAAGGGGUCGCAUGACCGCUUCAUUAAAUAUCCGUAAGGAUAGCAGGAGGAUGGACUUAUGGCGCAUUAGCUGGUUGGUGAGGUAACGGCUCACCAAGGCGACGAUGCGUAGCCGACCUGAGAGGGUGGACGGCCACACUGGGACUGAGACACGGCCCAGACUCCUACGGGAGGCAGCAGUAGGGAAUUUUCGGCAAUGGGGGAAACCCUGACCGAGCAACGCCGCGUGAGGGAAGAAGUAUUUCGGUAUGUAAACCUCUGUUAUAAAGGAAGAACGGUAUGAAUAGGAAAUGAUUCAUAAGUGACGGUACUUUAUGAGAAAGCCACGGCUAACUACGUGCCAGCAGCCGCGGUAAUACGUAGGUGG